UACGUAGGGGCCUAGCGUUGUCCGGAUUUAUUGGGCGUAAAGAGCUCGUAGGCGGCUUGUCACGUCGGGUGUGAAAGCCCGGGGCUUAACCCCGGGUCUGCAUUCGAUACGGGCAGGCUAGAGUGUGGUAGGGGAGAUCGGAAUUCCUGGUGUAGCGGUGAAAUGCGUAGAUAUCUGGAGGAACACCGGUGGCGAAGGCGGCAUCCUGGGCCGGUAUUGACGGCUGAGGAGCGAAAGCCAGGGGAGCAAACGGG
rnacentral:rRNA from 1 species